UACGGAGGGUGCAAGCGUUAUCCGGAUUCACUGGGUUUAAAGGGUGCGUAGGCGGGUAUAUAAGUCAGUGGUGAAAGCUCCGAGCUUAACUUGGAAACUGCCAUUGAUACUGUAUAUCUUGAAUGUCGUAGAGGUUAGCGGAAUGUUGCAUGUAGCGGUGAAAUGCUUAGAUAUGUUACAGAACACCAAUUGCGAAGGCAGCUAACUGGUCCGGUACUGACGCUGAGGUGCGAAAGCGUGGGGAGCAAACAGG
rnacentral:rRNA from 1 species